rnacentral:rRNA from 1 species
GUGGGGAAUCUUAGACAAUGGGGGAAACCCUGAUCUAGCCAUGCCGCGUGAGCGAUGAAGGCCUUAGGGUUGUAAAGCUCUUUCAGCUGGGAAGAUAAUGACGGUACCAGCAGAAGAAGCCCCGGCUAACUCCGUGCCAGCAGCCGCGGUAAUACGGAGGGGGCUAGCGUUGUUCGGAAUUACUGGGCGUAAAGCGCACGUAGGCGGAUCAGAAAGUCAGAGGUGAAAUCCCAGGGCUCAACCUUGGAACUGCCUUUGAAACUCCUGGUCUUGAGGUCGAGAGAGGUGAGUGGAAUUCCGAGUGUAGAGGUGAAAUUCGUAGAUAUUCGGAGGAACACCAGUGGCGAAGGCGGCUCACUGGCUCGAUACUGACGCUGAGGUGCGAAAGCGUGGGGAGCAAACAGGAUUAGAUACCCCUGUAGUCC